CAGAGUGAAAGUAGCAGUUCCUCCUUAAGGUCAGAGAUUGCAGCAUCUGAGGGCCUCUUCAAAAGAAGACGUAGUUGAUGAAGGCGUUCUGGAGCAGGACCAGAAAGACCACGACCAAGCAGCCUUGAGAUCUUAGGCAGCGUCUCCCUCAGGUCCCUCUCUAUCUCCCCACACAUCCACCAACCACUGGAACACAUCUCCAAAGUUCUGCCGGGCCAGCUCAGCUUCCCCUCAGAAGAAGUGCCGCCACCUGCCAGAUGAAGGAGCCUUUUGAGAGGCAGCUGGCAUCGUGAUUGGACUGUACUUUGGUCUGUUCCAAUCCAGCUUCAGCUCCAGAGACGGCAGGCGGGACGAGUCAACGGAGGCCGGGUGGACGAAGACCAAAGAACUACAGACUCUUCACAACCUGCUCAAACUCUU
ensembl:lncRNA